UGAAAUGUUGGGUUAAGUCCCGCAACGAGCGCAACCCUUAUCCUUUGUUGCCAGCGAUUAGGUCGGGAACUCAAAGGAGACUGCCAGUGAUAAACUGGAGGAAGGUGGGGAUGACGUCAAGUCAUCAUGGCCCUUACGACCAGGGCUACACACGUGCUACAAUGGCGCAUACAAAGAGAAGCGACCUCGCGAGAGCAAGCGGACCUCAUAAAGUGCGUCGUAGUCCGGAUUGGAGUCUGCAACUCGACUCCAUGAAGUCGGAAUCGCUAGUAAUCGUGGAUCAGAAUGCCACGGUGAAUACGUUCCCGGGCCUUGUACACACCGCCCGUCACACCAUGGGAGUGGGUUGCAAAAGAAGUAGGUAGCUUAACCUUCGGGAGGGCGCUUACCACUUUGUGAUUCAUGACUGGGGUGAAGUCGUAACAAGGUAACCGUAGGGGAACCUGC
rnacentral:rRNA from 1 species